rnacentral:rRNA from 1 species
GGCGAACGCUGGCGGCGUGCUUAACACAUGCAAGUCGAACGGAAAGGCCUCUUUCGGGGGGUACUCGAGUGGCGAACGGGUGAGUAACACGUGAGUAACCUGCCCUUGACUUUGGGAUAACUUCAGGAAACUGGGGCUAAUACCGGAUAGGAGCUCCUGCUGCAUGGUGGGGGUUGGAAAGUUUCGGCGGUUGGGGAUGGACUCGCGGCUUAUCAGCUUGUUGGUGGGGUAGUGGCUUACCAAGGCUUUGACGGGUAGCCGGCCUGAGAGGGUGACCGGCCACAUUGGGACUGAGAUACGGCCCAGACUCCUACGGGAGGCAGCAGUGGGGAAUAUUGCACAAUGGGUGGAAGCCUGAUGCAGCAACGCCGUGGGCGGGAGGACGGCCUUCGGGUUGUAAACCGCUUUCGCUCAUGACGAAGCUUUGUGUGACAGUAGUGGGUAAAGAAGCACCGGCUAACUACGUG